GAUGAACGCUAGCGGCAGGCCUAACACAUGCAAGUCGAGGGGUAGAGGAAGCUUGCUUCCUUGAGACCGGCGCACGGGUGCGUAACGCGUAUGCAAUCUACCUUGUACAGAGGGAUAGCCCAGAGAAAUUUGGAUUAAUACCUCAUAGUAUUAUUGAAUGGCAUCAUUUAAUAAUUAAAGUUCCAACGGUGCAAGAUGAGCAUGCGUCCUAUUAGCUAGUUGGUGUGGUAACGGCAUACCAAGGCUACGAUAGGUAGGGGUCCUGAGAGGGAGAUCCCCCACGCUGGUACUGAGACACGGACCAGACUCCUACGGGAGGCAGCAGUGAGGAAUAUUGGACAAUGGGCGCAAGCCUGAUCCAGCCAUGCCGCGUGCAGGAAGACGCAUCUAUGGUGUGUAAACUGCUUUUGUACGGGAAGAAACACUCCCUCGUGAGGGAGCUUGACGGUACCGUAAGAAUAAGGAUCGGCUAACUCCGUGCCAGCCGCCGCCGUAAUAC
rnacentral:rRNA from 1 species